AUGAUCAAAGGUCUGGAGAAAAAGCCCUAUGAGGAGCGGCUUAAAGAGCUGGGCAUGUUUAGCCUGCAGAAGAGAAGGCUGAGAGGAGACAUAAGGGCCAUAUAUAAAUAUGUGAGGGGACAUCAUAGGGAGGAGGGAGCAAGCUUGUUUUCUGUUGGUCUGGAGAAGAGAAGGCUAAGAGGAGACAUGAUGAGGGCCAUGUAUAAAUAUGUGAGGGGAAGUCAUUGGGAGGAGGGAGCAAGCUUGUUUUCUGCUGCCCUGGAGACUAGGACACGGAACAAUGGCUUCAAACCACAGGAAAGGAGAUUCCACCUGAACGUUAGGAAGAACGUCCUCACUGUGAGGACUGUUCGGCAAUGGAACUCUCUGCCCCAGAGUUUGGUGGAGGCUCCUUCUAUGGAGGCUUUUAAGCUGAGGCUGGAUGGCGAUCUGUUGGGGGUGCUUUAAAUGCGAUUUUCCUGCUUCUUGGCAGGGGGUUGGACUGGAUGUCCCAUGAGUUCUCUUCCAACUCUAUGAUUCUAUAAUUUUAUGAUUCUAUGAAAAUAUCGAUCUAUCUCAAAUCAUGUGUGACAAAAUAUAUAAAAGGGAGAGAUUUAGUGGUGAGGUCUAAAAUGAAGAGAAAAGUGUUCCAUAUUUUUUGUGUCUGUAUGAGAGAUCGAAGGAAGAGAGAAGGGGAGAAAGAGAAUGACUGUUUAGGAAAGUGCUGUUGCACUAGGUCUUGUUUAAUUUUUAGUUCUUCCUAGAACAACAGAUGCUUUGAAUCAGAUGGCCCCUGCUGCUAAGGACGGGACCUUUGUGGCAUUAACAGUAUCGUUGUCCAUUGGGGGUCUUGUUUCCACCCGCCUGUCUCAGCAAGACCAAAUCCACUGGACAGCGUGGGGUAAUCAGAAAUGGCAAUCUAGUAUUUGCCCCAUUAAUUACCCCCUACCAGUUUUUGGUGGAUUCUGAUGUAACGCACUCUGUGCUCAGUGUGAGAGGAUCAAUCUGCUUUCAAGGGCAAUGCCCUCCCAGCGAUUUCUCUUCCUCUUUCAUUUUCCUCGAUCCAGUUAAUUGCCAGCAAUGAAUUGCAUUAACUCAAGGAUCCCUCCAGAAAAUAAUAAUCAGAACAGAAUCCACAGAAAUGUUGUAUGGAUCCCUUACAUAGGAAGCAGGCCAAAUAAAUCAAUGUUUUGGUGUAGCUGAUUCCCAAAUGUGUGCCCUGCAGUAAAUGACAUUUUUAUCUGCUUUUGAAAUCUUAAUUUCCAACAGCAAAUUGUUGGGGGCUUCUGCUUUUUUUCCACAUCAACAAUUGAAAAGUUCAAUUUAGCAAGUGGCAGUGUUCCUUUUGGAUAGAUUGUGAAUGACAUUGGUCAAAUAUUAUUAUAGUACAACUAUAUUCAUCACCAGUUCAAGUCAAGCUAGAUGAUGUUGUUGGGUAGGACUGAAAUAUCAGUACUAUGUCCCUACUAUAUUGCCAUAUAAUCCAGAUUAUCAAAGCAGAAAAUCCACAUUAUCUGCUUUGAACUGGAUUAUAUGAGUCUGCAGUGCCAUAUAAUCAGGUUGAUUUUAUAUGGCAGUGUAGAAGGGCCCCAAAUGGGGACCCAC
ensembl:lncRNA